AACAGGUCAGCUUCCCAAGUGAAAAUAGCUGCUUUACCUUCUGGGGUGGCUGAACAUCUGCCUGCCCAUCAGAAAUGUUACACAGAACCACAACACUUCUCCACUGGGAUUACUGUUUUAUAGGU